CAGAAGCUGUGUUGAAUACUUUUUUUUCUAAAUAAACAAUAUAUAUAGGUGGGUGGAGAAUGGGAUUAUUGAUGCAAGUACCUGCGGUUCAGUCCUCGUGUUCAUUAUAAAGAAACGUGAAGUAGUACUUCUUGGACAUUUUCGGGAUGUUGAUUUUUAUACGCCCGUAUAAAAUACGGGACGUAUUAUGUGAAACCCCUUGGCGGCGGGCGGCGGGCGGCGGGCGGCGGGCGGAAGGCAUCACUUUGUCCGGACUCUAAUUCAAAUUGUAUUCAUCCGAUCUUCACCAAACUUGGUCAGCAGUUGCAUCUAGUUGAUAUCUAGGCCAAGUUCGAAUAUGGGUCAUGCCGGGUCAAAAACUAGGUCAUAGGGUCAAUAAGUGCAUUUUCAAAGGGGCCACUUUGUCCGGACUCUAUUUCAAAUUGUAUUCAUCCGAUCUUCACCAAACUUGGUCAGCAGUUGCAUCUAGUUGAUAUAUAGGCCAAGUUCGAAUAUGGGUCAUGCCGGGUCAAAAACUAGGUCAUAGGGUCAAUUAGUGCAUUUUCAACGGCGCCACUUUGUCCGGACUCUAAUUCAAAUUGUAUUCAUCCGAUCUUCACCAAACUUGGUCAGAAGUUGUAUCUAGACAAUAUCUAGGUCAAGUUCGAAUAUGGGUCAUGCCGGGUCAAAAACUAGGUCACAGGGUCACUUAAACCAUUUCAAGCAUUUAGCAUGGUGUCCGCUCUCUAAUUGAAGUAGUUAUCAUCCGAUCUUCACCAAAUUUGGUCAGAAGUUGUGUCUAGACAAUAUCUACAUGUAGGUCAAG